rnacentral:rRNA from 1 species
AGCGAACGCUGGCGGCAGGCUUAACACAUGCAAGUCGAGCGGGCGUAGCAAUACGUCAGCGGCAGACGGGUGAGUAACGCGUGGGAACGUACCUUUUGGUUCGGGAUAACCCACGGGAAACUUGGGCGUAAUACCGGAUAAGCCCUUACGGGGAAAGGAUUUAUCGCCGAAAGAUCGGCCCGCGUCUGAUUAGCUAGUUGGUGAGGUAACGGCUCACCAAGGCGACGAUCAGUAGCUGGUCUGAGAGGAUGAUCAGCCACAUUGGGACUGAGACACGGCCCAAACUCCUACGGGAGGCAGCAGUGGGGAAGUAUUGGACAAUGGGCGGCAAGCCUGAUCCAGCCAUGCCGCGUGAGUGAUGAA